ACGGGUGAGUAACACGUGAGCAACCUGCCCUGGACUCUGGGAUAAGCGCUGGAAACGGCGUCUAAUACUGGAUAUGAGACGUGAUCGCAUGGUCGUGUUUGGAAAGAUUUUUCGGUCUGGGAUGGGCUCGCGGCCUAUCAGCUUGUUGGUGAGGUAAUGGCUCACCAAGGCGUCGACGGGUAGCCGGCCUGAGAGGGUGACCGGCCACACUGGGACUGAGACACGGCCCAGACUCCUACGGGAGGCAGCAGUGGGGAAUAUUGCACAAUGGGCGGAAGCCUGAUGCAGCAACGCCGCGUGAGGGAUGACGGCCUUCGGGUUGUAAACCUCUUUUAGCAGGGAAGAAGCGAAAGUGACGGUACCUGCAGAAAAAGCGCCGGCUAACUACGAGCCAGCAGCCGCGGUAAUACGUAGGGCGCAAGCGUUAUCCGGAAUUAUUGGGCGUAAAGAGCUCGUAGGCGGUUUGUCGCGUCUGCUGUGAAAUCCCGAGGCUCAACCUCGGGCCUGCAGUGGGUACGGGCAGACUAGAGUGCGGUAGGGGAGAUUGGAAUUCCUGGU
rnacentral:rRNA from 1 species